UACAGAGGGUGCAAGCGUUGUUCGGAAUUAUUGGGCGUAAAGCGCGUGUAGGCGGCUUUGCAAGUCGGGUGUGAAAGCCCUCAGCUCAACUGAGGAAGUGCGCCCGAAACUGCAGAGCUUGAGUGCCGGAGAGGGUGGCGGAAUUCCCCAAGUAGAGGUGAAAUUCGUAGAUAUGGGGAGGAACACCGGUGGCGAAGGCGGCCACCUGGACGGUAACUGACGCUGAGACGCGAAAACGUGGGGAGCAAACAGG
rnacentral:rRNA from 1 species